UACGUAGGACCCAAGCGUUAUCCGGAUUUACUGGGCGUAAAGAGUUGCGUAGGUGGCAAAGUAAGUCGAGUGUGAAAUCGUGUGGCUCAACCAUACACCCAUACUCGAAACUGCUUAGCUUGAAGAUGAGAGAGGUCACUGGAAUUCCAAGUGUAGGAGUGAAAUCCGUAGAUAUUUGGAGGAACACCGAUGGCGUAGGCAGGUGACUGGCUCAUUCUUGACACUAAGGCACGAAAGCGUGGGUAGCAAACGGG
rnacentral:rRNA from 1 species